UGCCAGCAGCCGCGGUAAUACGUAGGGUGCAAGCGUUAUCCGGAAUUAUUGGGCGUAAAGAGCUCGUAGGCGGUUUGUCGCGUCUGUCGUGAAAGUCCGGGGCUCAACUCCGGAUCUGCGGUGGGUACGGGCAGACUAGAGUGAUGUAGGGGAGACUGGAAUUCCUGGUGUAGCGGUGGAAUGCGCAGAUAUCAGGAGGAACACCGAUGGCGAAGGCAGGUCUCUGGGCAUUAACUGACGCUGAGGAGCGAAAGCAUGGGGAGCGAACAGGAUUAGAUA
rnacentral:rRNA from 1 species